CUGGGGCGCGGUGGGACUUGUAGUUCGGUCUUCGCUUCGGACGCCCAAGUCUGCAUAGCGCGUGGUACGGCUGAACUGCAGUUCCCAUCAUGCCCUGGGA
ensembl:miRNA Mir1938 microRNA 1938